rnacentral:tRNA from 1 species
AGGGGUAUAGCUCAGUGGUAGAGUGCAUGCUUAGUGCAAGAGGUCUUGGGUUCAAUCCCCAGUACCUCCA